rnacentral:rRNA from 1 species
AGUGAACGCUGGCGGCAGGCCUAACACAUGCAAGUCGAACGGCAGCACAGCAGUAGCAAUACUGUGGGUGGCGAGUGGCGGACGGGUGAGGAAUACAUCGGAAUCUGCCUUAUCGUGGGGGAUAACGUAGGGAAACUUACGCUAAUACCGCAUACGACCUACGGGUGAAAGCGGGGGAUCGCAAGACCUCGCGCGAUAAGAUGAGCCGAUGUCGGAUUAGCUGGUUGGCGGGGUAAAGGCCCACCAAGGCGACGAUCCGUAGCUGGUCUGAGAGGAUGAUCAGCCACACUGGAACUGAGACACGGUCCAGACUCCUACGGGAGGCAGCGGUGGGGAAUAUUGGACAAUGGGCGCAAGCCUGAUCCAGCCAUGCCGCGUGGGUGAAGAAGGCCUUCGGGUUGUAAAGCCCUUUAAGUUGGGAGGAAGGGCAGUAAGUUAAUACCUUGCUGUUUUGACGUUACCGACAGAAUAAGCACCGGCUAACUCUGUGCCAGCCGCCGCCGUAACAC